CGUGGAUACAAGCAGCAGAAAUGAGGUUCCUGUGUCGGGUAUCUGGUCUUACACUCAGGGACAGGGUGUGACAAACUCGAAUAUCUGGGACAGACUCUAAUAGAGACGCUUCUCCUUCUU